AGUGAACGCUGGCGGUAGGCCUAACACAUGCAAGUCGAACGGCAGCACAGUAAGAGCUUGCUCUUACGGGUGGCGAGUGGCGGACGGGUGAGGAAUACAUCGGAAUCUACUUUUUCGUGGGGGAUAACGUAGGGAAACUUACGCUAAUACCGCAUACGACCUACGGGUGAAAGCAGGGGAUCUUCGGACCUUGCGCGAUUGAAUGAGCCGAUGUCGGAUUAGCUAGUUGGCGGGGUAAAGGCCCACCAAGGCGACGAUCCGUAGCUGGUCUGAGAGGAUGAUCAGCCACACUGGAACUGAGACACGGUCGAGACUCCUACGGGAGGCAGCAGUGGGGAAUAUUGGACAAUGGGCGCAAGCCUGAUCCAGCCAUGCCGCGUGGGUGAAGAAGGCCUUCGGGUUGUAAAGCCCUUUUGUUGGGAAAGAAAAGCAGCAGGUUAAUACCCCGCUGUUCUGACGGUACCCAAAGAAUAAGCACCGGCUAACUUCGUG
rnacentral:rRNA from 1 species